CCCGUGGAAGAGCAAUCAGUGCUUUUGGGCGCUGAGCCAUCUCUCCAACCUGGACAGAUACUUUCUUACAAAGCCUCUGCCUCUCCAGAGACAGAGGCCCCCACACCAUACAAAUCCUUCUGCAUCCAGCCUGGCGCAGCAGGAGAGCCAAACACUCCAGAACUUGCUGCGUUGGCCGGCAGGGGGCGCGCCGUCACUAGGCUCCAGCCAGCAAGGCGCCCAGAACUCGCCCUUGACACAGGUAGCGGUUUCCUGGUUAGUGACAGAGGUCUGGAAGGAUAAACAACAACAACAGAAUCUGCGAAGCAUAACAUGGUCUAACUCCCGGAGAACAGAUUUCUGAGCCUGUUCGAGCCACCGCGCCCGGACGCUUUAGUACUGAGCUUUCUCCCUUCAAACUGUACAAAGGCAGUUGCGACUGGAGUGUUUGUUGGAGUCACAAGCUUUAUAGUUUGACUGCACCGGAAAGAGCUUUUCUGGAAUCCAGCCUAACUACGAUCCUCCUUGGAAUGAAGCGGAUCGGUCGGGAAUGGGAUGAACCGUUUCUACUCCUUCGUUCCCAGGGAUUGAACACAGGCUUGAGACAAUGUUUCCACCACAGGGGGACAAAUGUGAUGCGGUACUUAAAGGAUUUCCAUGUUUCUGAAGUGGUUCAUUCUCAAGUUGGGCAUCCAGAAAAGACACAAGGCUGGGAAAAUUGCUCCUCAGAGUUGGAGACUUGCUUGGAUUGGCCGAGGUGCUGAAGAAAGGGUUGCCACAGAUCUCAAACCACUUUCAAGGACUUGGGAGGACAUUCUGGCCAAGACCUGUCUGAGAGACAGCUCAGCGGUUAAGAGCACUUGCUGCUUUUGCACAGACCCAGGCUCCCUUUUCAGCAUACCCAGGGAGGCGCACACGCAGCUGGACCGCCAGCUCCAGAGCCUCUAACACCUUUUCUGGACUCCAGGGCAACAGUCAGUCAUGCACACAAGGCAGACAUACAGGCAAGCAUCACACUCAUAUGCAGAAAAUGUGAAGACAAUAAAUACACCUUUAAAAAAAAGAAACUCUAAAGUUCAAGAUUUCGAAAUACAGGCAAUACUGAGAGAAAUAUCUAUUGUACACAAUUAAUGCAACAUUUAAUCAGUGGCUCAGUGCCAGGCUAUUGCUGUAGAUCAGCUACUGCUUUUUAAAAAGAUUAAUUUGCAUGUGUGUCUGUGUGUGUGUUUGGGCAUGCAAGUGUUUGUGGCUGUUCAUGUGUAGGAAGGCGGCAGACUUUACUCUGCCUGUUCUUCUGAGGGCUCAAAGAAACAGCGUGAUCGUGCUUAGCAGUUUUUACUUUGAAGACAUUGUCCCAAAAACACUGUGCAAAAACACACAUUGUGUGAGUGUGUUUACAAAACUGAAGACCAGCACACUCUUGGAGAAAUGAUCAAGAAACUCAACCAGUUUAUUUCAAAGAUGUGCUAACCUCACAAUAGAAACCAGGAGAUGUGCUGUGUUGGGAAGGGGUUUUGCUCUUGUUUCCCCAGGAGAAGAAAAAUUAUGGAUACCAUCAAAAUUAAUAAAGACUCAUUUUGAAAAGGAUAAGCCUUUUCAACAGAGAAACAGACAAAUUCUCUGUUUCUAUUGAAACAGAGAAAUGACAGCUCAUCCACGAUGGUGACAACCAUACAGGUGGUAAGGAAAACAUAUAGGGUUGGGACAGAGUUCUGCUCUUAAUGUGGGAAAAUUACAUGUCAUCAAAAAUUCAAGAGACCCUGGAUGUUUGGGUGCUGACAGAAUGACAGAAAAAUGACUAUCCACUAAAGAGCAUCCAGACCAUGGGAUAUGGAUUAUAUAUAAAGGUGCUGGUUACACUUACAUUUGUACACACAGGUGUGCAUAUACACCAAUCUGUCUGUCUGUCUGCCUGCCUAUCUAUCUAUCUAUCUAUCUAUCUAUCUAUCUAUCUAUCUAUCUAUCUAUCUAUUAAUAUAUUUAGCUGGGUUUGGAGUUGGACAAUGGCUCUGUACUUCUCUAAAUCCAAGCAUGUUGUUAAAAAGGAACAUUCAGAGUUUCUAUCUCAUAUCAGGAGCCAUCUGGUAUGGGACAGAAGGAAAACUUUAGGAAAAAAUUUACUUUCCCUGUUGUAGGGCCCCGGUCUACCUUUGUUCCUGGGGUGCAUCUUGAGGACAGUUUCUGGUCAGCUAACUAAAGCAUUCUGUUUGUUCCUGUGCUCCCCCUGCCCCACCUGGUGAUUAGCUAUAGGGCAUUGUUGACUCCAUCUUUGGCAUGGUAAUUUCCCACCUUCCUGGGCAGAAAUCCUUGUGCAGCAGCAAGGUAUAUAAGGAUUUCCCCCAAGGUUGAAUAAACGGCAUUCGACUGAUUUCCUUUCGAAUGACCCAGGUCUCUUUGUGUGUUCUUUCAAUCUCCAGGCCCUUGCCCAACUCGCAUAUGGUACAGUGGUGUGCAAACUGUACCAAGGGUGUAACACAGAAUUGGGUGUUACACUCUGUGCCUAUUUUGUCUAUAUCAUAUUCUUCAUUAUAUAUAUGUUUAUAUGACUGAUGUUUAAGUUUUUCAUGAUGAACAAUAGAUUUUCCUACAGAUCCUUUUUCUGCGGUAAUCUUUGAAGUUUCCAGGAAGAAGAUGGGGCUCCAUAGCAAACACUCUACCUAGUUGAGAUGACAUCGUGAUGCAGACAGCACUAUUAUAAGACAGCUGCUGAAAUGGUGCACCUUCUCAUAUUCUGGCCAGAACUCCAAAUGAGAACUUUGAAAAAAAAAAACUAUUGACUGAUCAGAAAUUGUUUGCAACUGUACUAGACUGUAAUUUUGAAACUUAACCAUCACUUAAUUUUUGCAGGAUCCCAUUAAGAGAACUUCACCCCCAUGACCCUGGGAAGCAAUUCUAGAAGACGAUGCCCCCAUCCCAAAAAAGUUUGUUCAUAGGGAACACUGUUUAGGGACUGUUGAAUAUUACCUGUCCUAGGUAGAGGGUUGGGGUGAAAACUAUGUUUGCUCAAAAAAAAGGGGGGGACAGUAAUAGUGGGUAAUAGAGUGAAUACUUGUAAGCUAUUAUUCAUGGAUAAUUUACAUUACAUUGGUAUAGUUUUUGUAUAUUGAUACAAGUUCAAAUUAUAUUUGUGACUUUAGAUUACAUUAUUUGUACAUUUAUACAAAGUUAUUUUGUCAGAUUGUAUUUGUGCAUGUUUCUACCUCAGUUUAGGACACUGAUACAACUUUUAGGCUAUAUUUUUAUAUUGCAUUAUAUAUUACUCCUACCUCUGAUCAAGAUACAGGUAUUAAGGUCAAGAUACAAGUAUUAGGUCAAUAGUUGUUCAUGUUUGUUGUACAUACAGUCAGAUCAAUGUUGGGAGAGAGGGUCCCUUUGUUCUGUCCUGGCUACCCAGCUAGCUUACACCUGAAAUAAUCACACAGAAGCUAUUCAUUUAAACACCGCCUCGCCCAUUAGCUCUAAAUUCUUAUUGGCUCUUACACAUUAGUUUAAUCAAUCUCCAUUAAUGUGUAUCUCCACAUGACUGUGGCUUACCAGCAAGAUUCUAACCAGCAUCUGUCUCAGGCAGGAGAACCAUGGCAUCUGCCACUCUACCCUUCUUCCCAGCAUUCAGUUCUGUCUUCUCUGCCUACCUAAGUUCUGCCCUAUCAAAAGGCCAAAGCAGUUUCUUUAUUCAACCAAUUAAAGCAACACAUGAACAGAAGAACAUCCUACACCACAUCAAUUAGGUUCUUUAGAUACAUAGAGAUUAUAUUCUGUCUAGAUAGGUAUUCUUCAACCACUUCAAUAAUCUGUGGAACAUGGCAUUUAAAUAAUUUAGGGCUCUGCUGAAUGAGACAUGAUUGCCCCUGACAGCACCAGUCUAUUUCUGAGAGAAUGUUGAGCACUGAAGACACUCCACUUGGAGCUUAUUUUCUUCUUGGCAAAACUGGCCUUUGGGCAAGGAAGUGACAAUGACUCAACCACUGACAAGUUACAUGAUAUCCAGAAAUGGAUAAGAAGGACUGUCAAGUCUUGCCAAGACAGGGUAAAAUGGUUUUGAAAUUUUUCCUGCCUCUGAAAAUGGUCUGUCAGUUACACUGGGCCUUAGCCAAAGUUGGUUACUUCAACAUUGCAAAAUGAGACUUUGGGUCUCUGCCAUAUAUUGCUCACUUUGGAAGCUACUUGAUUGUACUUCCUGCCUGCUCAAGUAAUAUUGUCUCCCUCCUCAGGCCUUCAGUGGGAUUGAAGAUUAGAUAGUCGUAGUUAACUGUACUCUUAUGAUCUAGUCAAGCCAUUUCCUAGACGCCAUAGGAGAGAAUGUUUACUAAAACAUUUAGCAUAUGUUCCUUACUUAAUAUUGUUUAUGCUGGAUGUAAUUCUAAUUAUACUUGAUAUCUGUUCCUAUUGUAUAUAGUUUUAUAUUGGGGUUUGGAACUCUUUAUUUAAACAAAAUGGGGAGGUGCUGUGGGAGCACAUUCUGCCCCUUCAGCCAAUAGCCUUUAGGAUACCAGCCCACUGGGGUGUGAUCUCUUAUACUUUAAAAAGCAACGGGAACCAUGUACUCUCUCUCUUGCUUCCAGCUCCCAUUCCGGCUGCUAGUCUCUGCUUCCUGUUUGCGACAAGAGGACUGUUGUUUGGGGUGGUGAUCUGUAAAUUUUUCUCCUAAAGAAAUAACCCUUUUUAUUAUCCCUAAUUCCUAACUGGUGUGGGAUUGUUUUGUGACUUCAUCUGUGCAUUUUCAAAAUUAAAAAUAUUUAUUUAGGCUGCAGAGAUGUAUCAAUAGUUACAAAUAGCUAUGGCUCGUACAGAAGACCUGAGUUUGGUUGUCAGUACCCACACCACUAGCUCACAACUGCCUGUUAUUCAAGCUCUAGGGAAUCUGACAUCUUCUUCUGGCCUCGAGAGAAGCAUGUGGUGCACAGACAUGCAAGUAAAAUACUCAUACAUAUAAAACAAAUAAGUGAGAUUAAAAAUGUGAUUUACUUUUUGAUUUUCCAAUGUGUCUACACUGAAUGUGUGUUGUUUCUCUAAUUAAAAAAUUAAUACUCUCUAAACUGUGAACUUCUUAAG